rnacentral:rRNA from 1 species
CCUACGGGUGGCUGCAGUGAGGAAUAUUGGUCAAUGGCCGAGAGGCUGAACCGCCAAGUCGCGUGAGGGAAGACGGCCCUACGGGUUGUAAACCUCUUUUGUUGGGGAGCAAAGCGAGUCCCGUUUGACCCAUUUAGAUUACCCGUAUAAAAAGCAUCGGCUAACCCCGUGCCAGCAGCCGCGGUAAUACGGAGGAUGCGAGCGUUAUCCGGAUUUAUUGGGUUUAAAGGGUGCGCAGGCGGAGGUGCAAGUCAGCGGUCAAAUUGCGGGGCUCAACCCCGUACUGCCGUUGAAACUGGAAGCCUUGAGUGCGGGAGAGGUAGGCGGAAUGCGUGGUGUAGCGGUGAAAUGCAUAGAUAUCACGCAGAACUCCGAUUGCGAAGGCAGCAUACCGGAGCGCAACUGACGCUCAUGCACGAAAGCGUGGGUAUCGAACAGGAUUAGAUACCCUUGUAGUC